rnacentral:rRNA from 1 species
GGGGGGGGGGGGGGGGGGGGGGGGGGGGGGGGGGGGGGGGGGGGGGGGGGUGGGGGGGGGGGGUGCGCGGGGGGGGGGCGGGUGAGUGAGACGGGAGUAGCGGGCGCGUGGCUUUGGGAGAGCUUCAGGGAACGGGGGCUACGACCGGAGGGGGGCUCCUGCUGCAGGGUGGGGGUUUGAGGUUUCGGGGGUUGGGGAUGGACUCGCGGCCUAUCAGCUUGUUGGUGGGGUAGUGGCUUACCAAGGCUUUGACGGGUAGCCGGCCUGAGAGGGUGACCGGCCACAUUGGGACUGAGAUACGGCCCAGACUCCUACGGGAGGCAGCAGUGGGGAAUAUUGCACAAUGGGCGGAAGCCUGAUGCAGCAACGCCGCGUGCGGGAUGACGGCCUUCGGGUUGUAAACCGCUUUCGCCUGUGACGAAGCGUGAGUGACGGUAAUGGGUAAAGAAGCACCGGCUAACUACGUG